rnacentral:SRP_RNA from 2 species
GUCGAGCUUGGUAACGCGGGCUUGUCAUCCAAGUGAAGACAACAAGAUGUUGGAAUCUUGGGCCGAUCUCAUUAGGCCGGGUUUGGGGUGGCUAUUCACUGGCCUGCCCAUUCCAAGUCGGGAGUUGAGGGUUCGGGCUCGAGCGAAGGCUUGUUGUUCGGGCACUCUUAGAGCGGAGGAGACUGCGUGAGGCUGGUUUCACAGAGCAGCGUCCACCUCCACCUUCUGAGCCCACUAUGACCUAAUAAGCUGGUUUCAACGGGGACCAACAUCUUU